rnacentral:rRNA from 1 species
AUGUCUGGGAAACUGCCUGAUGGAGGGGGAGUAACUACUGGAAACGGUAGCUAAUACCGCAUAACGUCGCAAGACCAAAGAGGGGGACCUUCGGGCCUCUUGCCAUCAGAUGUGCCCAGAUGGGAUUAGCUAGUAGGUGGGGUAACGGCUCACCUAGGCGACGAUCCCUAGCUGGUCUGAGAGGAUGACCAGCCACACUGGAACUGAGACACGGUCCAGACUCCUACGGGAGGCAGCAUG